CCUACGGGAGGCAGCAGUAGGGAAUAUUGCUCAAUGGGGGAAACCCUGAAGCAGCAACGCCGCAUGGAGGAUGAAGGUUUUCGGAUUGUAAACUCCUUUUGUUAGAGGAGAUAAUGACGGUAUCUAACGAAUAAGCACCGUCUAACUCCGUGCCAGCAGCCGCGGUAAUACGGAGGGUGCCAGCGUUACUCGGAAUCACUGGGCGUAAAGAGCGCGUAGGCGGGAUAGCAAGUCAGAUGUGAAAUCCUAUGGCUUAACCAUAGAACUGCAUUUGAAACUGUUAUUCUAGAGUAUGGGAGAGGUAGGUGGAAUUCGUGGUGUAGGGGUAAAAUCCGUAGAGAUCAAGAGGAAUACUCAUUGCGAAGGCGACCUGCUAGAACAUAACUGACGCUGAUGCGCGAAAGCGUGGGGAGCGAACAGGAUUAGAUACCCUUGUAGUC
rnacentral:rRNA from 1 species